rnacentral:rRNA from 1 species
AUUGAACGCUGGCGGCAGGCCUAACACAUGCAAGUCGAGCGAGAAAGCCUUCGGGUGAGUACAGCGGCGGACGGGUGAGUAACGCGUAGGAAUCUACCUGGUAGUGGGGGACAACAUGGGGAAACCCAUGCUAAUACCGCAUACGCCCUAUGGGGGAAAGCGGGGGACCUUCGGGCCUCGCGCUAUCAGAUGAGCCUGCGUAGGAUUAGCUUGUUGGUGAGGUAAAGGCUCACCAAGGCGACGAUCCUUAGCUGGUCUGAGAGGAUGAUCAGCCACACUGGAACUGAGACACGGUCCAGACUCCUACGGGAGGCAGCAGUGGGGAAUAUUGCGCAAUGGGCGAAAGCCUGACGCAGCCAUGCCGCGUGUGUGAAGAAGGCCUCGGUUGUAAG